rnacentral:lncRNA from 1 species
GAGAAAGUCAGCGAGAGAUAUUAAUCAAAUACAAUUUAUAUGUAACCUUAAUACUCUCAUUGUAAAAUCAAUUAUUCAGGGAUACAUGAUACAUUGUAUUGCAUAUUUCAUUAUUUUCAACACUGUCAGGUGGAAGUGAAAACGGUAUAUAAAAUCCUGACUAUAGGAAAACAAUAAAAAAAUAAUAAAAAAUAUUUCCUUUCUCAAAUGUCUACUCCAUGCUUGCCAUUCUGAAUAAUUUUUGAAAUGUUGUGAAAAGAACUCAAUCUUUGUGAAGUUAAAUUUGAUAUGAAAUCAAUGAAAUAUGCCUACUUGCUUAAUCAUGUUGCCCCCUUAGUAGAAAACUAGUAUAGGCAACAAACGAUAUUUCUCCAUCUUGUUCUGUAAUUUGCUAGCCUCUCCAGCUCUUGCCACUUGUAUCCCUCUUUUUCUAUCUCGGCUGCAAAUUUUAUUCUCCAAGUGUGUCUUGGUCUGCCUCUGCCAAGCUUUCUUUGUUGGUUCCACUGUAAAGCUUGCCUUGUAAAGCUAUUAUUUGACUUACUCAGUGUUAUCCAUCUUCACUUUCUCUGUUUUAACUCGUAAUAAAAUAAAAUAUGCAGUACAAAAAAAAAAUCAUUAA